AUAUAUAAGGAUUGACAGAUUGAUAGCUCUUUCUCGAUUCUGUGGGUGGUGGUGCAUGGCCGUUCUUAGUUGGUGGAGCGAUUUGUCUGGUUAAUUCCGAUAACGAACGAGACUCCGCCAUGCUAACUAGUUAUGCGGCCCCGUGCAUGAUU